ensembl:lncRNA
CACCUCCAUCCCGUUGCUAAUGUGACAUGUUAGCGCGUUUAGAGGAUUUAAGCUUCAUGCAGUUUAAAUGCUACAAAAACAAACAGAAAGAAGAAGCUGCAGCAUGUUAGCAGACUGAUAGAGAGCAGAGAGAGAAGAAGAAGAAGAAGAGGAGGAGGAAGAAGAAGAAGAAGAAGAGUGUUUCUGCUGCAGCUGCUGGAGGACAAACUCUGUCAGGACAUUUAGUUCUUUCUCUGAGCUACUCAACAUUCCUCAGUUUCUUCACCAAACACAGAAAGUCAGAUUCUCUGCUCAGAUUUCUUUAUUUUCGACCAUCAUGGCUUCAGCUCUGCUCAGAGGACGAGCAUUAGUCUGUGUCAGAUGUCUCCACAGAGAGUUGUGUCGAGUCGUCUGGAAGCCUCAGAGCGCUUUGUUCAGCUCCAAACCUUCAGACAGAAAACAGCCUCGCAGGACUCACAUCAAAAAAGCCAAACCUCAGCCUCCCAUUGACAUCGCCAAACUCCUGGAGACACUCUUCUCCCAGACGAGGCCGGGCACAGCGCCUCCUGCUGCUGCUACCGCUCAACAUGCCAAAAUUUCUUCCACAUCGACCAAACCUCAUACAACCUCCAUGAGGGAUUCCACCUCAAAUGUUCCUCCAUCGUCAAAGCCAGGACCAUCCGUCUUCCCAUCUCCUUCUAGUUUCAAACAAGCUGUUCCCAACAAGACUACAUUCAACAUUGCAGAGCUGUUCCCUCAGCCAAAAUCUGCAGUGAACCCAAAGACUUUGUUUUCCUCUGAAUCAUGUCCACAGCCUAAUCUUAAUGUGGUUCAGGCUUCUGUUGCUGAGGGUCUUUCCCG